CUUUACUGUAGCUUUGUAUUGGACUUUGAAUAGAUCUGUGUAGGAUAGGUGGGAGGCUUUGAAGUGUGGUCGCUAGAUCAUAUGGAGCCAACGUUGAAAUACCACCCUGGUGUGUUUGAGGUUCUAACCUUGGCCCAUGAUCUGGGCUGGGGACAGUGCAUGGUAGGCAGUUUGACUGGGGCGGUCUCCUCCCAAAGUGUAACGGAGGAGUUCGAAGGUACGCUAGUUACGGUCGGACAUCGUGACGAUAGUGCAAUGGCAUAAGCGUGCUUAACUGCGAGACUGACAAGUCGAGCAGAUGCGAAAGCAGGACAUAGUGAUCCGGUGGUUCUGUAUGGAAGGGCCAUCGCUCAACGGAUAAAAGGUA
rnacentral:rRNA from 1 species